AUUCAUUCAAGCAUUAUUUUUCCUCUCUCACUUCUAUCAAAUCGGGGUUUCCUUUUCUUCCCUCUUCAUCACCGUAACAUCAUUAUCAUAGGAGUUUCUUUUCUUCCUCCUUUGUCAUCCUAUGUAAACCCUAAAGGAAUUCACACCAGUUCUUCAAGGAUUACUGAUUCAUUCUAAUGGAAUGACGGAUCUUUCAAAUGCCGUUUUUCUAUGAGCAAUAGAGUCCCAAUCAUGGUGAAUGCAAAGAUACUGAAGAUAGCCUCAAUCAGAGGCUUGAUCUAGGGCUCGAUAGAUGAUUCUUUUUUCUUCAUUCGAUCAAAAACAAGGAGAUUUUCGGUGCCAAAAUAACAACACUAGAAGACGAUUUAACGAAAGCACACCAAGAUGCUUCAGAUUAUCAACACCUGCGCCAAUAGUUGGGAAAGGUGUAGUUGCAAUCAACUUCUUAUUCAAAAACUCAUAAACUUCUUUAUACUUUGUCCUAUCACGAAUCACUAUUUAUAUUUUAUUGUUUUGUACAAGAACUUAAGGAGCUGAAAAUGAUGAACGACAGGUGAAACCAAAAGUGAGUUCUUUUUCCUAUUCUCACAUAAUUUUUAUCACCUAGCAUUUCUACAAGGUAUAGAUUAACUUACAUAGAAAUUCAUGUAAUUUGCUUCAGCUGUAUUGAAGAUUUAAAAUAUUAGCAUAUGGUUAAAUUAAAUUUAGUAGUAUGGUAUUUUUUUUUCUACUCUGCUAAACUGCAUCGAAUAAAAGUCAUAUUUGAUUUGCUGACAUCUGUGUCGAAAGAUGAUUGAUAAGAAGCCAAAAUGAAAGUCAGACAUAUUUCUUUGAGACUUGGCAAUGUGGGUGUUAUCAGGUAAAACAUUCAAAACUAUUACUUUAGUUUACGCAAUUAGCUAUUGACUAUCUUCGGUAUAAGUCAAUGUGGAAUCUAUAAUCUUUUACCUAAAUUCAGUUACAUUUUUGUAUUUGUUUGUGACUUGACUCGAAAAGUAAAAGAUUAAAUAAUUAUAGUUUUUGAAUGUUUCUUUAAGUUAUGAGCAUGAAUUCUCGGACCCUUUGUGAUCCUGAAGAUCCAUCCAAUUCCUGUGAUAAAUGGACGUUGGAUAUAUAUAGAGAUGCAAAAUUUAAAGAGAGAAAAGGUUCGACAAAUCAGGUUAGAAAGAUACCAAUGAGUUUCCAACGGACCACCGGCGGCCUAUCCGAUGAAAUGGCAGGUAAGGUCGCACCUCCUAUUGUCUCAUAUUUCUCUUGAAAUUGAUAAACCAUGUGCUAAUAUUAGUUAUAUAAACCCUCGAUCUUUGUUAUGAUAUUUUGCAUGUUUUUCAUUUAAUUAUAUCAAUUUGCAUCUCCAUUACUUAUAAUUUUACUCUUGGCUAUAUGUUGAGUGGCAAUACACCUUGAUCUCAGUGUAUGGUAUUGCUAUAUGUAUUUUAUAUGGUUUGAUAUUUUUUAGGUUUUUAGAGGGGGUGUGAAAAUUUGAUAACUUCAAAACUAUCUUUAUGUGAUUUUAGUUGACUGAAUGUGUGCAUCAACGCAAGCUUUUACCUAGAUCCAUAAUUGAAGGUAUUGUGGGAGAAUGAUGGUGAUGAUGAUGUUUGACCAUGAAGGGCAUCGGAUUUAGUCUCUUUCUCUAUCGCUUUCGCCGGAACAAAUCACGACUAUUCCAGCGAUGGUCCUGUAGUGUGGAUCGGGGCUGUUGUAUGAUGGCAAUGUGGCUAAGUCCUAGCAGUGGCAGUGUUUUCAAACAGAAUGUUCCGCCAACAGAGGUGUGUACCUGGCCGCUGUUCUCGAAUAGGUUGCCGCUGAGGAACUGAGUAGCAUCGCAGGUUCAUCUCCAAUGAUUAGUCGAUUUAUGAUGAGUAAUAUGUAGCAAACUUUGAUGCAGGGACAAUUAUCAGAGGAAGACCGAUGGAAGACGGAGGCACAGACGUUGGUCUUCAGCGAUAAUGAAGGUAACUACAACUGCAAUGGAUGGUGAACGACGAGCCCAACUCUACAAUAGCAGAUGUGGCACACGUUGGGUCAGGUGGAUAGAAGGAACAACUGAACGAGGCCUGAUUUGGGUUGAAGCCUUCCGAAUCGUGUGACGCAGCGACAUAGGAAUUCUAUGGUUUUGUGACGACAGAAGCAAAAGGUGCAUGCAGAUACUUUGGGUGAAUAUCAUGAUUUAUUUAAGGAACCCGUGCUCGGUUGUUGAUAAAUUCAUAGACAUCGAGCUCGCCAAAGAAACUUUAGUUUAUGGUCUAGACUAUAUAAUUACAUGUCUUGAGUAACUAAUCUCAGCUUAUGUAUGUGGCCAAUUCACGUUAUCUACUACAAAGGUCCCAACAAGAUCAUACCAUGAUUCAGUUGGAAAACCAAUUUUCUGAUAACGUGAAAAAUAGCCCUUUAAAGUUACCCGAACCGAAAUUGGCCAAAUACAUAAAGCUAUAUUAUUUUCUUGAUAGUCUUUUUUAUAUAUAUAAAUGAUUUAGGAGGUUUUAAGCAUCAAAAGUACAUUUUGGGCAACCUAUGAUCUGUUUGUCCAGUUCGACCCAUUUGACCAUCUUUUAGCUAUUUUUUAGUUGUAGUUGUUUGACCCGUUAAAGAUAAAACAUUACCAAAAUCGACCUGUUCAGAAGUAAAUGAGAUAAAACAUUACCACUUGGUACUGCCAAACAUAUAGCAGCCCAGCCCUACUUGUGUCGCAUAUGUUUUGCAGUCCAACCCUACUUGUGCCGCAUUGGUUUCUAAUGGCUAACUAUUUGAUAAAAUUGGCAAACUUUCUGACUGGAAAUUUCAAGGAUGGUAAGCGUGGAAUUUGUAGCAGGCAGUGCUUAUCAGCUACCAACAAAUGUAAACCUUAAAAAUCUUGAAAUUGAUUUUUUAUAUGUGUCAAAUUUUGUUUUCAUUGCUGGUUUUGUCAUGAUUAAUGAUCUUAGAUGGUUGCAGGAGUUGUCUUCUUUAACCACAUUCAGGACAGCUGAGUUUUUGUCUAUAAUGGUUGUUACUUGCCAUGAAGGAUCAAAAGUCACUUAGUUUAUCCGGAAAUAAUAGUGAUAUUCGGGGAAACCCAGGCAACAUCUUUUUUGUGGGUGAAAUGCAUAUCCAAACUACAAGGCAUGGGGCGGGAUCGCUGGAAAAAAAACAAUUUAUAAUCUGUGUUGGGUCUGGGCGUGGUUAUUAUGUCUAGAUAGUGGGUGGUUAUUUUUUGUAAUGUUGGGAUCACACUAAUUUUGUGGCCAGUGUAUAGUUUUUGGUGUUGAAACAAAACUUGCCUUUGAAAAAAAAAUAUGUGCAGUGAUAUGAUGAUUAUUAAUGAUGGAGAAAACAAAAUAACUUAAUCUUU